UUCCUCAAGUCAAUAUUUGCCAAGCUUAAACCUCAUCUUACUUGCUAUAGAACUUAGUAUUUCAUAAUCAUCAUUAUGCUCCAAAUUUGAUAUGAGAUCAAAGANUUUUUUUUUUUGAUCGAAAAACAGAACUAUAUUAAGGAGAAAAAUGGUACCAGAGGUACCGAACAAUAGCCUUACAUCAGUUUACAAAGAAUAUCAUAAUCAC
rnacentral:lncRNA from 1 species